GACGAACGCUGGCGGCGUGCUUAACACAUGCCAGUCGAACGGAAAGGCCCUGCUUGCAGGGUACUCGAGUGGCGAACGGGUGAGUAACACGUGGGUGAUCUGCCCUGCACUUCGGGAUAAGCCUGGGAAACUGGGUCUAAUACCGGAUAGGAGCCAUUUUUAGUGUGAUGGUUGGAAAGUUUUUUCGGUGUAGGAUGAGCUCGCGGCCUAUCAGCUUGUUGGUGGGGUAAUGGCCUACCAAGGCGGCGACGGGUAGCCGGCCUGAGAGGGUGGACGGCCACAUUGGGACUGAGAUACGGCCCAGACUCCUACGGGAGGCAGCAGUGGGGAAUAUUGCACAAUGGGCGCAAGCCUGAUGCAGCGACGCCGCGUGGGGGAUGACGGCCUUCGGGUUGUAAACUCCGUUCGCUAGGGACGAAGCUUUUUGUGACGGUACCUAGAGAAGAAGCACCGGCUAACUACGUG
rnacentral:rRNA from 1 species